rnacentral:lncRNA from 1 species
GGGAACGCCUUUUAGGGAUGUUUCUGGGGGAAAGGCCUGAGGUUCUCCAGGAGGGUCUGCAGCUAGGGUCGGCCGUGGGGGCUCGCAGCCCGCGGGACCACCGGACCUGCAAGCGUCCCCCUGCCCCGCCCCCGCCUCGGCGCUCUGAGCAAUUGGACUCUGCCAGCUCUAACUCCGGCGGGACUCUGAAACUCAGAGACAGGAUUUCACCAUGUUGGCCGUGCUGGUCUUGAACUCCUGACCUCAAGUGAUUUGCCUGCUUUGGCCUCCCAAAGUGCUGGGAUUACAGACAUGAGUCACCAUGCCCUGCCUGCAGCUUCUUCUUGAAGUGUUCUGGACUUGGAAGAUUUGUUGAAUUACUAUGAAGUCACAUCUAAAGUUUGAAAGAGAUCGGGUCUCACUAUUUUGCCCACGCUGGUCUUGAACUCCUGUCCUCAAGCAGGAUAUCCUCCUGCCUUGGCCUCCCAAAGUUCUGGGAUUACAGUCUCGCUCUGUCGCCAGGCUGGAGUGCACGCUGGAGCGCGAUCUUGUCUUACUACAACCUCUGCCUCCCAGAUUCAAGCGAUUUUCCUGCCUCAGCCUCCCGAGUAGCUGGGACUACAGGGACGCACCACCAUGCCCAGCUAAUUUUUGUAUUUUUAGUAGAGAUGUGGUUUCACCAUGUUGGCCAGGAUGGUCUUGAUCUCUUGACCUCGUGAUCCACCCGCCUCGGCUUCCCAAAGUGCUGGGAUUAUAGGCAUAA